AUUGCCCCAGUAACGGCGAGUGAAGCGGCAAGAGCUCAAAUUUGAAAUCUGGCCCUUUCAGGGUCCGAGUUGUAAUUUGUAGAGGGCGCUUUGGCGUCGGCUACGGCCUAAGUUCCUUGGAACAGGACGUCACAGAGGGUGAGAACCCCGUACGUGGCCGCUAGCCUUCGCCGUGUAAAGCCCCUUCGACGAGUCGAGUUGUUUGGGAAUGCAGCUCUAAAUGGGAGGUAAAUUUCUUCUAAAGCUAAAUACUGGCCAGAGACCGAUAGCGCACAAGUAGAGUGAUCGAAAGAUGAAAAGCACUUUGGAAAGAGAGUCAAAAAGCACGUGAAAUUGUUGAAAGGGAAGCGCUUGCAGCCAGACUUGCCUGUAGUUGCUCAUCCGAGCUCCCGCUCGGUGCACUCUUCUAUGGGCAGGCCAGCAUCAGUCCGGGCGGUCGGAUAAAGGUCUCGGGAAUGUAGCUCCCCUCGGGGAGUGUUAUAGCCCGGGGCGCCAUGCGACCAGCCUGGACUGAGGUCCGCGCAUCUGCUAGGAUGCUGGCGUAAUGGCUGUAAGCGGCCCGUCUUGAAACACGGACCAAGGAGUCUAACAUCUAUGCGAGUGUUUGGGUGUCAAGCCCGGGCGCGCAAUGAAAGUGAACGGAGGUGGGAACCCCUUACGGGGCGCACCAUCGACCGAUCCUGAUGUCUUCGGAUGGAUUUGAGUAAGAGCAUAGCUGUUGGGACCCGAAAGAUGGUGAACUAUGCCUGAAUAGGGUGAAGCCAGAGGAAACUCUGGUGGAGGCUCGCAGCGGUUCUGACGUGCAAAUCGAUCGUCAAAUUUGGGCAUAGGGGCGAAAGACUAAUCGAACUAUCUAGUAGCUGGUUCCUGCCGAAGUUUCCCUCAGGAUAGCAGUAACGUUUUCAGUUUUAUGAGGUAAAGCGAAUGAUUAGAGGCAUGGGGGUUGAAACAACCUUCACCUAUUCUCAAACUUUAAAUAUGUAAGAAGUCCUUGUUACUUAGUUGAACGUGGACAUUUGAAUGUACCGUUACUAGUGGGCCAUUUUUGGUAAGCAGAACUGGCGAUGCGGGAUGAACCGAACGCGGGGUUAAGGUGCCAGAAUGCACGCUCAUCAGACACCACAAAAGGUGUUAGUUCAUCUAGACAGCAGGACGGUGGCCAUGGAAGUCGGAAUCCGCUAAGGAGUGUGUAACAACUCACCUGCCGAAUGAACUAGCCCUGAAAAUGGAUGGCGCUCAAGCGUGCUACCCAUACCCCGCCGCCGGGGCAGAAUUUACGCCCCGGCGAGUAGGCAGGCGUGGAGGCUUGUGACGAAG
rnacentral:rRNA from 1 species